rnacentral:sRNA from 1 species
GACCGGCGACCGCCGAAUCCCGGAAGUCAUCGAUCCCGGGAACCGGGGACCCACGUCUCCUGGGGUGAAUCCGGACCAUCCGGUAGGGCUACUCCUGGCCCGAACCCGUCAGCUAACCCGGUAGGCGGCCAAGGAGAGGAGAG